rnacentral:rRNA from 1 species
GAUGAACGCUAGCGGCAGGCCUAACACAUGCAAGUCGAGGGGUAUAGGCUUUCGGGCCUAGAGACCGGCGCACGGGUGCGUAACGCGUAUGCAAUCUACCUUGUACAGGGGGAUAGCCCAGAGAAAUUUGGAUUAAUACCCCAUGGUAUUUUAGGGUGGCAUCACCCUAUUAUUAAAGUUCCAACGGUACAAGAUGAGCAUGCAUCCCAUUAGCUAGUUGGUAUGGUAAAGGCAUACCAAGGCAAUGAUGGGUAGGGGUCCUGAGAGGGAGAUCCCCCACACUGGUACUGAGACACGGACCAGACUCCGACGGGAGGCAGCAGUGAGGAAUAGUGGUCAAUGGGCGCAAGCCUGAACCAGCCAUGCCGCGUGCAGGAUGACGCAUCUAUGGUGUGUAAACUGCUUUUGUACGGGAAGAAACCACUCUACGUGUAGAGUAUUGACGGUACCGUAAGAAUAAGGAUCGGCUAACUCCGUGCCAGCCGCCGCAGUAA